CGUCGUGUCACCUCAAGCAAGUUACUUCCCAGACGUUUAGCCUGCACUCGACACGUUCCAAAGGAGCUUUCCGACAGAGACAUUCCCUGUAUUUCAAGCUAAAGUCAGAGAUUGGAAGAGCA